CUUAGCUUGCUAAGUUUGAUGGCGACCGGCGCACGGGUGAGUAACACGUAUCCAACCUACCCUUUACUCGGGGAUAGCCUUUCGAAAGAAAGAUUAAUACCCGAUGGCAUAGUUCUUCCGCAUGGUAGAACUAUUAAAGAAUUUCGGUCAUCGAUGGGGAUGCGUUCCAUUAGGUUGUUGGCGGGGUAACGGCCCACCAAGCCUUCGAUGGAUAGGGGUUCUGAGAGGAAGGUCCCCCACAUUGGAACUGAGACACGGCCUAAACUCCUACGGGAGGCAGCAUG
rnacentral:rRNA from 1 species